AAACAGAGUAUGGCAAAAAGAGCCUGUGGAGAAUACUUGGAAACAGUUUUAAGAAAUAAUCACGGCGAGAGGCAGCGAAACGUGACUAUAUGCAAGUCUGUAAAUAUACAAUUUAUAUCAAAAAAUUUUCUUAAUACUCUGAACAUAUGUUAUUUGAGUUUGAAUCAUUUGUCCUAGUUUAAGUUAUGUGCCUUUAUAAUUAUGAGUUUAUGAUCAUUUUCCAAGUUUGUUUAUGCCAAAUUGCUUACAAAAAUAAUUAAAAACUCUUGACAAAAUGAAGUUGAAUUU